rnacentral:rRNA from 1 species
GGACCUGACUGCUAUCGGAUUGAUACUAAGCCAUGCGAGUCAUUGUAGCAAUACAAGGCAUACGGCUCAGUAACGCGUAGUCAACCUAACCUAUGGACGGGAAUAACCUCGGGAAACUGAGAAUAAUGCCCGAUAGAACAUUAUGCCUGGAAUGGUUUAUGUUCCAAAUGAUUUAUCGCCGUAGGAUGGGACUGCGGCCUAUCAGUUUGUUGGUGAGGUAAUGGCCCACCAAGACUAUUACAGGUACGGGCUCUGAGAGGAGUAGCCCGGAGAUGGGUACUGAGACACGGACCCAGGCCCUAUGGGGCGCAGCAGGCGAGAAAACUUUGCAAUGUGCGAAAGCACGACAAGGUUAAUCCGAGUGGUUUCUGCUAAAGAAACCUUUUGUCAGUCCUAGAAACACUGAUGAAUAAGGGGUGGGCAAGUUCUGGUGUCAAAG